CCCUUUGUGCCAGAGUGAUUGGGUUGCCUUGAUGUGGCAAUCACGGGGGCCCAAAGCCCUCCUGGGGGGU
rnacentral:tRNA from 1 species